rnacentral:misc_RNA from 1 species
GACCUAAAUUUCCAUUAAAAAUAAGUAGUAUUAAAUUUUGAAAACCCCAUGAAAAAUGCAAUUAUAUAUGUAAUGAAAUUAAGGGAAAUGUGGGGGAUUAAUUGCAAUUAUUAAAACUUGAAUAUUAUAAUGAUUAAUUAAAUGGUAGUGGAGUAUAAAAGGGACUUGAGGACAGAAUUUACCACUUAAAAACUUCAUCUUCUUCAACUCAUUUCAUCAUGGCUGAUUCAAGCUUCUCUCAAAUUCUCCAUGGCCAUCCCACAUGCAAGCUCCCAAUCCACCAUGUUCAAGCCAUGAUCUUCACAAAUUCUUUCACUAAAGUUGAUCCUUACCUCAUGGGAAAGCCAUAGGCAGCAAAAGGAAGAAGAAAUUCUAAGGUUUCACAAGCUUGGGAAAGUCUUAAUUCAAGGUUAGUGCCUAAUUUUUCUAUCAUUCUUUCUUAGUCCUUGAUUUGAGGUUGAAUUGAGUUAGUAUGAUGAGGAAAUUGAAGAAAUUGAUGGGUAUUUAGGAGACCUUCAAUUUGGCAGCCAUAAGAACCAUGGGUGAUUGAUUAAUUUUUACUUGCAAAUGAUGAUUAGGGAUGUGGAUUAAAGUGAUUAUAUGUAUUAGAAUUUAAGUGUAUGUGAUAGGUAUAAAUUGGGAAAAAUUGAAGUAGGGUUUGAUGAUUAAAUUGGGGAUUUUGUGUAAUUGUUGAAUUGUGGCAGCCUUGAGAAGCAUUGAAGGUUGAUAUUUUCAUGCAUUUAAAUGGUGAUUAGUGAAGUAGAUUAAGCUAAUUAUAUGUAAUAGCAAAUUGAUGUCAUGUGCGUGUUAAAGUUGACAAUUUGAAUUAGGUUUGAACAAAUUAUUGAUGACUUGGAGUAAUUGCUUCAUUUUGGCAGCCUUGAUGGACUAAGAAGAUUGAUAAUCCCAUGAAUUUCAAUGUUGAUUUAUGGUGUUGAUGAAUUAGGGGAAAUGUAUGGUAAAUUGUUAGUUGAAAUUUCAUGUAUUAGCUAGUUGUUUUUAUGUAUAUAUAUUGUUGACUUUGACCUUGUGAAUUAGGGUUUUGUAUUGAAUAUUGAGGACUUGUGUAAACUGCUCAAAUUAACCAAUUUGAGAUUUGAUGAAUGAUUUUAGAAUGUUAUGAAUCCAGAAUUUAGGUAUGGUAGAUGAAGGAAUAGGAAUUUGAAGUGUAAUGUUUGUGCAUUUGAGAAAUUGGUUGAGGGCAGUAUGUGUUUGGAGCCCUAACCUAAAUUGUGUGA